CUACGGGUCGCUGCAGUGAGGAAUAUUGGACAAUGGGCGAAAGCCUGAUCCAGCGACGCCGCGUGGGUGAAGAAGGCCUUCGGGUUGUAAAGCCCUGUCAGAGGGGACGAAGUUCUGACGGUACCCUCAGAGGAAGCACAGGCUAACUCCGUGCCAGCAGCCGCGGUAAUACGGAGUGUGCGAGCGUGGCUCGGAAUCACUGGGCGUAAAGGGCACGUAGGCGGCCUCGUGUGUUGGGUGUGAAAGCCCACGGCUCAACCGUGGAACUGCACUCAAAACUGCGAGGCUAGAGUACGGAAGAGGAAGGCGGAAUUCCCAGUGUAGGGGUGAAAUCCGUAGAUAUUGGGAAGAACACCAGUGGCGAAGGCGGCCUUCUGGGACGAUACUGACGCUGAUGUGCGAAAGCGUGGGGAGCAAACAGGAUUAGAUACCCUCGUAGUC
rnacentral:rRNA from 1 species